UACGUAGGGGGCGAGCGUUGUCCGGAAUUAUUGGGCGUAAAGGGCUCGUAGGCGGUCCGUCACGUCGGGAGUGAAAACUUGGGGCUUAACCCCAAGCCUGCUUCCGAUACGGGCAGGCUAGAGUUCGGUAGGGGAGACUGGAAUUCCUGGUGUAGCGGUGAAAUGCGCAGAUAUCAGGAGGAACACCAACGGCGAAGGCAGCUCGCUGGGACGGAACUGACGCUAAGGCGCGAAAGCGUGGGGAGCGAACAGG
rnacentral:rRNA from 1 species